AAAAAUUGGCCUUCCAUGCCAGCCUUGCUUGACCACCAAAAGCACCUACGACUGUGAUGCCGUGCAUGCGUUUGGACGAUCAGAUGAUGGGUCAAAUUAAGUUAAAAGCUUCCUUCUCUUCACAACUUCGUCUUCAUCUUCUUCAAACCCAUAAUUCCAGUUAAAUAAGCGUCUGAGAAGGGAGGUUGAGAGCAGAAAAAACAAAGAGAGAGAGAGAGAGAGAGAAAGCUAGAGAGAGAAACCACACAACCAAAAUAGAGCAUCCGUUCUGGGUGCGUGAAAAUGGAUUUUCAUCCUUCCUCACUUCCUUAGAUGUCUAUGAUCACCUAUAUACGUUACCCAAUCACCAAAUUACCGUAGCAAGCUUCAGAAGUUGAAAUUGUGUUGUUGAAUCGGAACAACGCCCCCGUUCAGGUAGGUGUUUGUUCUUCGUUUAAAUUUCUUCCUAAUUUUUUUAUUUUCUUUCCAAAAUCUUGUAGUUAGUUGUUAGACUAACAAGUUAGGAGUGUUAGGAAAUUAUUUCUCAAAGUUAAAUGAAUCAUAAACGUGAAAAUUAAUUAAAACUCUCACCAUAUUCUGUUUUAAUUACCGUAAGUUGAAAAGGAAGUUUUUUGAAAUUUCCAGCAUUCCUUCGUGCAAAAUUUGUUUCUGUUUUGUGUAUACAUCAGUUAAGAUAGACUGAAAUCUUGUUGGUGCAUGGUACGCAAUUUUUAUAUGCUUAAAAAUAACAUGUUUUCGUGAAUUAAUCGUGUUAUGUGCGUGUGUGAAGGGAAAACAGUGUUUGUCCGUGUGUGAGUGUUAUAUGUUAGAUUUUUUCUAACAUUUUGAGUUUAACGGGGGUCUUGAUAUUCUUAUCAGGUUAUCAAUUUAAUGGACUCAUUUAAAAAUAAUCAAAUAUAGUUAAACAGUAUUAAUUCUUAAUAUAUCUGGUUUAAGUAUGAGCUUAUAAUAUUCAUAUACUAUUUUUAUAAUAUUCUUAUUUUAUGAUGAACGAAAUAAAAAUUAUAAAAAUUUAUUGAUAUAAAAGGCGAUUGUUGUCUCCGAAUCACAAAAUUGCUAUUUUAUUUUUUAAAAAAUUUCAUUAUAGAAAAACUUAGUUUUUGAGACAUCAUACUAAUUCGAAAUAUUUUACGCCAAAUGCGAAAAAUUCUUUUACAAUAUAUACAGGUACGCUUCUACUUAUAUUUUUCAUUAAUUUAGUACGAAAUUAAUUUUUAUAGAUAUACAGAUUUAAAAAUUAUUUUUAUUUUAACAAUUAGUUUUAGAGCAAUUCUCAUAUUCAAGGUUUUUUUUGUUUUGUUAUUUUAGAUUUUGAGAAAUAUAUAUAUAUAUAUAUAUAUAUAUAUGUAUAAAGAUUAGAAAUAUAUAUAUUCAGGAUAUAGAAAAUAUAUAUAUAUGUAUUUUUUUAAAUUAGAAAAUAUCUAUU
rnacentral:lncRNA from 1 species